ACCCCAAGGAAUUGUGCCUGAAUGCUUAAGGACCACCUUGAUAGCGUGGCUGAUAGGGGUUCAAGUCCCCUCAAUUCUA
rnacentral:tRNA from 1 species